UGCGAGUUCUGCUCCAUCGACUACCACCACCACCACUGCGGCCAAGGCCUCCCAUGAUGGCCUGGGUUCCUGGCAGUUCAGGUUGACAGAUUCCAUUGACGUGACCACCACCGCCACUUCUCUCCCUAUGGAUGUUGUGAAACGGAGGUUGCAGUUGCGGAGCAGCCGUUAUGGUGGAGUAAAGGAUUGCGUGGUGAGGAUGCUUAGGGAGGAAGGGUUGAAGGCUUUCUAUGCUACCGCACAACCAUCGUGAUGAAUGCUCCUUUGGGUUUACUUCUGAAGGAGUUACUCGAGGUCACCCCCGUGACCCCGUCACCCGUCUCGACUCUCGAGCGUGAUAUAUGAACGCCCAUCGUUUAUCGGGUGAAGCCUAAGCGUGUCGUUGACCGAUUCACGGUACAACUCAAACAUUAGAAGAAGAAAACAGAAUAAAGAAAUCAAUAAGAAACCAAAAAAUUUGAACAGAGAAACAAAGGACGACGGAGGACGGGAGGAAGAAGGAUACGUUGAAGAUCUCAGACGUCUCUACUGGCGAUUUGACGCAAUGGACUAGAGACCGACCAGAUCAGACGUCUGAUUUUGCUUCCCCGUCCCAUUCAAAGGACAUGAAUCCUUCUCUCCUUAACUGAAAUCGGGCCCGAUGGUCUCGCCAGAGAAGCCCCUGUUAUCGCCUACACCGAGAAGAUAAUCGAGGAAGAACAGCUUCAAUUACAAAAGUAUGUUGAUUUCUACUCCCUCCACUGUUUCCUUUUUCCUUCCUCCUGUUAGUUUUCCGGUAAUCAUUGAGUUACCGUUUGUGAAUUUCUUAUCUUAUGACCCAAUUCUGUUUUCCCUGUCUAUUGGAUCUAUGUCUUGUACCACCCGGUUAAUGUGGCUGAUUUGGAGUGUUCUCUGGUACUUUUGAUCUAAUGUGCUCUAAGUGUUGUUUUAUGUUCCAUCGUUGUGUAGGCCACUUGUUUGCACUAGGGGCGUCCCAUUGAAU